rnacentral:rRNA from 1 species
GACGAACGCUGGCAGCGCGCCUAACACAUGCAAGUCGAACGAGAGAGGAAGAGCUUGCUUUUCCGAUCGAGUGGCGAACGGGUGAGUAACGCGUGAGGAACCUGCCUCAAAGAGGGGGACAACAGUUGGAAACGACUGCUAAUACCGCAUAAGCCCACGGCUCGGCAUCGAGCAGAGGGAAAAGGAGCAAUCCGCUUUGAGAUGGCCUCGCGUCCGAUUAGCUAGUUGGUGGGGUAACGGCCCACCAAGGCGACGAUCGGUAGCCGGACUGAGAGGUUGAACGGCCACAUUGGGACUGAGACACGGCCCAGACUCCUACGGGAGGCAGCAGUGGGGAAUAUUGCACAAUGGGGGAAACCCUGAUGCAGCGACGCCGCGUGGAGGAAGAAGGUCUUCGGAUUGUAAACUCCUGUUGUUGAGGAAGAUAAUGACGGUACUCAACAAGGAAGUGACGGCUAACUACGUGCCAGCAGCCGCAGUAA